GGAGCUCGGGUCCCCUCAGGAUCUGCCCCUCCAUCACCAGCGCCACAGCCAGGGCCGCCACCACUCUUCCAAAGCCACCUGAAGAAGCUGCUCAGUGUCCUAAGAAGGUCAUAUUCUGAUGCUCACUUUGAAUGUGUCCAAAAAGGAAAAUGGAAAAGACAGCAUUUUUCAAAGGUUAGAACAGAGAGCCAUGGAGAAUAAAUGGACUGGGAAGCCCCUUCCGGGUCUAAUCAAGGAACAUUUCUCUCAUCUUGGGAUAAAGGAUCCUUACAAUAUCUGCCUACUGGGAUUUCACACCUGCUACACACCAGCAACUGCUGUGUCUCCUAUUUUUCUCCAGGGAAUAGUUAUUGAGGUUACCCUGAACACAAGUUUACCAGUGUAUACUGGAUGUUUAGGGAACUGAUGACUUGCCUUUUUAGUUCAUAAGUUUUUUGGAUCAAGCAGAGCCACACUCAGACAUGAAGCAUGUUUCUUCCUGAUGUCGGGACUACACUGUAUCACCCAUAGAUUCUGCUCUUUGAACUUGAUGUUCUCAUUGAAAGGCACUUCUGGGUUUUCUCCUUCAGGGACAGGUUUGCCUGUUUGCAGUCAACUGUGCCUAUGAGCCAUGCUUUGGCUGAUGAACCAUGAGCAGAAGUGUCUGUGCAGCAGCUUUAAGAGCAAGUAUGUGAUUUGCUAUAAUUUUCUUUCCCUCUGUCCCAGUGACAGGCAACCUUACAGAUGGAUGGUACAAAAUCCUGGGUUUCAGAGUGAGAGAACUGGAGAACCCACAGACAUCUAUUGAUGGACAUAUAUUAGGAGCAAGAAAUACAUCUUUGUU